CCUACGGGAGGCAGCAGUGAGGAAUAUUGGUCAAUGGACGAGAGUCUGAACCAGCCAAGUAGCGUGAAGGAUGACUGCCCUAUGGGUUGUAAACUUCUUUUAUAAAGGAAUAAACCGCGGCACGUGUGCCUUUUUGCAUGUACUUUAUGAAUAAGGAUCGACUAACUCCGUGCCAGCAGCCGCGGUAAUACGGAGGAUCCGAGCGUUAUCCGGAUGUAUUGGGGUUAAAGGGAGCGUAGGUGGGUUGUUAAGUCAGUUGUGAAAGUUUGCGGCUCAACCGUAAAAUUGCAAUUGAUACUGGCAGUCUUGAGUACAGGUGAGGUAGGCGGAAUUCGUGGUGUAGCGGUGAAAUGCUUAGAUAUCACGAAGAACCCCGAUUGCGAAGGCAGCUUACUAAACUGUGACUGACAUUGAUGCGCGAAAGUGUGGGUAUCAAACAGGAUUAGAUACCCCAGUAGUC
rnacentral:rRNA from 1 species